GUAGAACCGGUAACUGGGGCUAAGUCGUAACAAGGUAGCCGUACCGGAAGGUGCGGCUGGAACACCUCCUUU
rnacentral:rRNA from 1 species